rnacentral:rRNA from 1 species
UUUUGGUGAGGUGCCUUCCGAGUUCCCUGGAACGGGACGCCAUAGAGGGUGAGAGCCCCGUCUGGUUGGACGCCGAACCUCUGUAAAGCUCCUUCGACGAGUCGAGUAGUUUGGGAAUGCUGCUCUAAAUGGGAGGUAUAUGUCUUCUAAAGCUAAAUACCGGCCAGAGACCGAUAGCGCACAAGUAGAGUGAUCGAAAGAUGAAAAGAACUUUGAAAAGAGAGUUAAACAGUACGUGAAAUUGUUGAAAGGGAAGCGCUUGUGACCAGACUUGGGCUUGGUUGAUCAUCCGGGGUUCUCCCCGGUGCACUCUUCCGGCCCAGGCCAGCAUCAGUUCGCCCUGGGGGACAAAGGCUUCGGGAACGUGGCUCUCUCCGGGGAGUGUUAUAGCCCGUUGCGUAAUACCCUGUGGC